CCACCUGCUGGUCGUCGGGCGCGCUGGUGCAGUGGCGGCUUCUUGGCAGGCAGGGCCGCCCAGAUGUUGGUGGCGGCCAUUGGGGCGAAGGUCUCUUGGGUUUGCUGUCCACUGCUGGGAAGACUUCCUCUGUAAAGGGAUCUUCAGCUUCAUCGCCUUCAGAACAGGAGGCGUCCUGGGACAGAGUGAAGCUGUCCUCACUCCUUGUUAGCUUUUGCUUGGAUGUUGGGCCCACGAGGCACUCUCGUGAGGGUGACAUGUUGGGUUCAGAGAACCGCCUGUCUUGUUGGACAAUGGAGUUUUUCAGCCUGACUACCAUGCUAACGCUGGACUCUGAGCUUGACUCACAGGUGUCCCGGUGGCCCCGGGUAUCCAGACCAGCCAUUGUGGGAGUGGGACCCUCCAGUUGCCUGUUGGGAGAGGCUGCGCCACUUGUGGGCUCCACAUCUGGGUCAUUGCUGUCAUAGGCCGAGUCAUUCUGCAGAGUUGACACGUCUGGGGAAAGUUAAGGAAGAGCUGAGCAUUCUGUCCAGGCUCUCUUAGCGAAUACCCUAUUUAUACCAACGAUGCUUUGGUGGAAGUGUACUGGGGCCUGAUCCAACAAGAAGCUGAUUACACUGAAACUUUGCUUCUGUCUAAAAUGGUCUUUAAGUGGUAAGAAAGUGGG
rnacentral:lncRNA from 1 species